UACGGGGGGAGCAAGCGUUGUUCGGAUUUACUGGGCGUAAAGGGCGCGUAGGCGGUAGCACAAGUCAGUUGUGAAAUCUCCGGGCUUAACUCGGAAAGGUCAACUGAUACUGUGCGACUAGAGUGCAGAAGGGGCAACUGGAAUUCUCGGUGUAGCGGUGAAAUGCGCAGAUAUCAGGAGGAACACCGGUGGCGAAGGCGGUGGUCUGGGCCGGAACUGACGCUGAGGAGCGAAAGCGUGGGGAGCGAAACAGG
rnacentral:rRNA from 1 species